rnacentral:lncRNA from 1 species
UUUCUCUAGCCCUAGCUGACUUGUAAGCCAGGGUGACCUUGAACGCAGAAAUCUGCCUGAGGUUAAAGGUGUGUUCCACAAUUGCCCCAGCUCUACUCUAAUUCUCUUUUUAAAAAUGUGUGUGUGUAUAUAUGUAUAUAUGUAUAUAUAGAAGUAAUAUUAAUCCAUUAAUAUCUGUUUCCUAAAAUUCAUGUCUCUCUCUCUCUCUCUCUCUCUCUCUCUCUCUCUCUCUCUCUCUCUUUCUUAAAUUUAUUCUUUUCAUACAUAGUUUCAUAAUGUAAGCAGCCCUGGCCGUCUUGAAGACACUUUGUAGGCCUCAAUCCUGUAAGAGCCUUCCUCUGCUUAUCAAAUGCUGCCAUGAAUGUUGUACCUCACUAUGACUGGCUGAGAUUCUCACCUUUUCUUCCCCCCCCCUUUCUUUUUAUGAUUCUAUCUUUGGCCACGCAGUGGUGGUGGUGGUGGCAGAGGGAGGUGGAUCACUGUAACUUUGCAGCUAGCUUAGUCUUCAGUCUGAUUUACUCGAAAGGAGUUCCAAGAAGACUGGUUAUAUUUUUCAUUUAUUAUGCAUUUUAAUUAAAAUUUAAUUAAACCCAAAGAAUUUAGACUGACCAAUUCAGAGUCUGCCAUUUAAAAGCAUAAGGAAAAAGUAGGAGAAAACGUGAGGCUGUCUGUGGAUGGUCGAGGCUGCUUUAGGGAACCUCCUCACCAUU